rnacentral:tRNA from 1 species
GUUGGGAUAGCCUCAGUUGGUAGCAGCAGAGGACUGAAAAUC